rnacentral:rRNA from 1 species
GAUGAACGCUGGCGGCGUGCCUAAUACAUGCAAGUCGAGCGAACAGACGAUGAGCUUGCUCCUCUGACGUUAGCGGCGGACGGGUGAGUAACACGUGGAUAACCUACCUAUAAGACUUGGAUAACUUCGGGAAACCGGAGCUAAUACCGGAUAAUAUAUUGAACCGCAUGGUUCAAUAGUUAAAGACGGUUUUGCUGUCACUUAUAGAUGGAUCCGCGCCGCAUUAGCUAGUUGGUAAGGUAACGGCUUACCAAGGCAACGAUGCGUAGCCGACCUGAGAGGAUGAUCGGCCACACUGGAACUGAGACACGGUCCAGACUCCUACGGGAGGCAGCAGUAGGGAAUCUUCCGCAAUGGGCGAAAGCCUGACGGAGCAACGCCGCGUGAGUGAUGAAGGUCUUCGGAUCGUAAAACUCUGUUAUUAGGGAAGAACAAAUGUGUAAGUAAAUAUGCACGUCUUGACGGUACCUAAUCAGAAAGCCACGGCUAACUACGUG